rnacentral:rRNA from 1 species
CGAAUGCUGACGUGAGUAACGACAAAACGGGUGAAAAACCCGUUCGCCGAAAGACCAAGGGUUCCAGUCCAACGUUAAUCGGGGCUGGGUGAGUCGACCCCUAAGGCGAGGCCGAAAGGCGUAGUCGAUGGGAAAAUGGUUAAUAUUCCAUUACUUCUGUGUAAUGCGAUGAGAGGACGGAGAAGGCUAAAUCAGCCUGGCGUUGGUUGUCCAGGUGAAAGGAUGUAGGCAUGUAUCUUAGGCAAAUCCGGGGUACUCUAUGCUGAGAUCUGAUAGCAAGCUGUACUUGUACAGCGAAGUGGUUGAUGCCAUGCUUCCAGGAAAAGUCUCUAAGCUUCAGUUACACAGGAAUCGUACCCGAAACCGACACAGGUGGUCAGGUCGAGUAGACCAAGGCGCUUGAGAGAACUCUGCUGAAGGAACUAGGCAAAAUGGUACCGUAACUUCGGGAGAAGGUACGCUGUUGUUGGUGAUGGAACUCGCUUCCUGAGCUGACGACAGCCGCAGAAACCAGGCCGCUGCAACUGUUUAUUAAAAACAUAGCACUCUGCAAACACGAAAGUGGACGUAUAGGGUGUGAUGCCUGCCCGGUGCUGGAAGGUUAAUUGAUGGGGUUAGCGUAAGCGAAGCUCUUGAUCGAAGCCCCAGUAAACGGCGGCCGUAACUAUAACGGUCCUAAGGUAGCGAAAUUCCUUGUCGGGUAAGUUCCGACCUGCACGAAUGGCAUAAUGAUGGCGGCGCUGUCUCCAGCAGAGGCUCAGUGAAAUCGAAAUCGCUGUGAAGAUGCAGUGUACCCGCGGCUAGACGGAAAGACCCCGUGAACCUUUACUGCAGCUUGACACUGAACUUUGACCUUACUUGUGUAGGAUAGGUGGGAGGCUUUGAAGCUGGAACGCUAGUUCCAGUGGAGCCGUCCUUGAAAUACCACCCUGGUAAUGUUGAGGUUCUAACUCUGUCCCGUGAUCCGGGACGAGGACCGUGUCUGGUGGGUAGUUUGACUGGGGCGGUCUCCUCCUAAAGAGUAACGGAGGAGUACGAAGGUGCGCUCAGCGUGGUCGGAAAUCACGCGUAGAGUAUAAAGGCAAAAGCGCGCUUAACUGCGAGACCCACAAGUCGAGCAGGUACGAAAGUAGGUCUUAGUGAUCCGGUGGUUCUGUAUGGAAGGGCCAUCGCUCAACGGAUAAAAGGUACUCUGGGGAUAACAGGCUGAUACCGCCCAAGAGUUCAUAUCGACGGCGGUGUUUGGCACCUCGAUGUCGGCUCAUCUCAUCCUGGGGCUGAAGCAGGUCCCAAGGGUAUGGCUGUUCGCCAUUUAAAGAGGUACGCGAGCUGGGUUUAGAACGUCGUGAGACAGUUCGGUCCCUAUCUACCGUGGGCGCUGGAAAUUUGAGAGGAUCUGCUCCUAGUACGAGAGGACCAGAGUGGACGAACCUCUGGUGUACCG